AACACUUCAAGCUCCGGCCUCCCGCAUGGUGAUAAUGGUGGACGUUCUCUCCAAGGGCAGGGAAUCAUGCUAUAAGGCUCGGGACGCCUUCUAUGCUUGCUUGGAGAAGGAGGCGGACAAGAAGCCAACGGAGGUGGCGACCGUCGGCCUUCUAUACCCGGCCGAAUGCAAGGGUUCCAGAGACGAAUUCGUCAAGAGUUGUCGCCCCACUUGGGUGAAGCACUUUGAUCGUCAGUAUUGCGCUAAGAAAAGAGUGAAGAGGCUUCUCGACAACGACGAAUCCCGCAGAGGUCCCAUUUCUCUCCCUCAGCCGUACACCUUCAAGCCCUAGCUACGGCCGACCCUUAUCCUUCAAUUCCUGGAUUCCUAAGCGCAGCUAGAAGCCACUGCUCGUGAUAGUUUGAGCGCGCGUUACAAACCUCAUUUUUUUGUUCCCAUUCUGUUCAGCUGUAGAACUUUUUACCUGGCUGAGCAAGGUCUUCAUAUCUCAAACCCCUAAAGAUGUCUUCAGUAGCUGCGUUCUACUUUACUAAUACAUUGCAUUUUGCUGAAGUUCUACAAAUCAGCUUCUUCUGUUGUAUGUGGAAGCAGAUUCCUAAAA